GGAACGGCACGGGCUCAGCCACCCCAGGGUUUUCUUUGGGCGUGCGCCUGUGAGCGUCUCCCUCUGCUCUGUGCAUCAGUCAGCACGGCUGGCUGCUGAGAACCACAUGGGCUCCCUGAAAGCCAUCAGAUCCUGCCUCGCUAAGAGGUUUGGAAGCAAGCAGGACUAAAACAACAACAUGGGCUAGGCAUUAAAAUCAGGGCUUGAUCCCAGAUUUGCCCCGUGCUGCUCAGGUCAGAUGGAGCUUUAUGUUUGAGCCGAGAUCCUUCUUCAGCCAGGAUUUACAAACAAAAAUAAUACGACAGAGGAGAGGGCUGGUGCUUCUGAAGAUGCUCCGAAAACGCUCACACAAGCAGAAAGGGGCCCACAAGAAUUAUUCCCCAUACAGCAGCCAAGCCAAAGCUCAGGACGUCGUCCUUGCUCCGUCUGUCAGCCCAGCUCCUGAAAAAGAACAAAUCUCAUUAAUGGUUGCCAUAGAUUUCGACGAUGCCGCGCAAGGGCCAUAACAUGGCGAGGCUCUUUAGAAUGGGAGAUAAACCAUUCUCAGCUUCACGACACUCUAGGUGCAGGAAGAUAAACAGCAUCUCCAGGGAUGCUGGAGGAGGAGCACGCCGGCAGCACGCCCACAUCUUGCUUUCACUGAGCUGCUGGGAUGAGACCAUGAGUGAGCAUCCAGCGGCAAUAGAUGAUAAUUUCCUAAGGAUGAGAAGAGAAGAAAAAGCUUCCCCUGACUUAAUGUAAUUAUUAGCAUUAAUAAUUAUAGAAGAGAAGAUGCCAAUUAGCAGAGCUAGCCCUGUUUGCAGGUGGGAAUAGCUGAGUUUACUCUUUUCCCCUUUCAUUUAAAAGCGGAUUUAGCAAUAAGACUGUGGAGGAGGCAUCCAAAUGCAUGUGUGGCGGCUCCUGCAAGGCCAGAAUUGGGAACUGCUUGAUGUCAUUUGGGGAAAAACACCACUGGGAGGAAACGGCGGUUAGUGACAACUGAAUAGGUGGAGUCAUGGAGUCACAGAACGGGAAAGGACCUCUGGGUCCAUCUGGUCCAACCCCCACUCAAACAGGGACACCCAGAGCCGCUUGCCUAUGGAGCAUUCUAUUAGGAAGCACUAACUGGGGAGUAGUGCAUUAAGGGCCAGGAGUUCUUUGUUUCUAAAGCACAUUCUUCUUCCACGGUCUCUGAGUAUUUUUGUUGAGAUAGGAUGUGUGCCCUGAUGGACCCAAGGCUGGGAAUUUACAAGAAGAAGAUAGUGGGAACAAGGAGGUAAUGUUUGCCCAUUACUGUUUUUUUUCAAUGCCUCCUAAUUUUGGCAAGCCACUUGUGAGCUAAAAUAUUAAUUCUUAACUAGAGGAAACAUUCUCCCCCUCCUUCCUCCUCUUCCCCCAGUCCUUUUUUCACAUACUUUUUGGCUGAUAGAAAGAGCAGAAUAAUCUCAUCUGAUGUUUUGGGAUAUAUUCCCUGCAGGUGCUAUAGAAGUGCCACCUGCUACUGCGUACUGGGUUUGAUCACAACUCAGUAGCACCCAGUGCUGCACAGGAUCUCAUAUUUUAAUGGCCACCAAGUGCCUGGCU
ensembl:lncRNA